rnacentral:rRNA from 1 species
CGUACACUCCUGCGGGAGGCAGCAGUGGGGAAUAUUGCACAAUGGGCGCAAGCCUGAUGCAGCCAUGCCGCGUGUAUGAAGAAGGCCUUCGGGUUGUAAAGUACUUUCAGCGGGGAGGAAGGCGAUAAGGUUAAUAACCUUGUCGAUUGACGUUACCCGCAGAAGAAGCACCGGCUAACUCCGUGCCAGCAGCCGCGGUAAUACGGAGGGUGCAAGCGUUAAUCGGAAUUACUGGGCGUAAAGCGCACGCAGGCGGUCUGUCAAGUCGGAUGUGAAAUCCCCGGGCUCAACCUGGGAACUGCAUUCGAAACUGGCAGGCUAGAGUCUGGUAGAGGGGGGUAGAAUUCCAGGUGUAGCGGUGAAAUGCGUAGAGAUCUGGAGGAAUACCGGUGGCGAAGGCGGCCCCCUGGACAAAGACUGACGCUCAGGUGCGAAAGCGUGGGGAGCAAACAGGAUUAGAAACCCCAGUAGUCCCA